rnacentral:rRNA from 1 species
UACAGAGGGUGCGAGCGUUAAUCGGAAUUACUGGGCGUAAAGCGCGCGUAGGCGGCUUUUCAAGUCGAUUGUGAAAUCCCCGGGCUUAACCUGGGAACUGCAGUCGAGACUGUCUAGCUAGAGUAUGGGAGAGGGAAGUGGAAUUUCAGGUGUAGCGGUGAAAUGCGUAGAUAUCUGAAGGAACAUCGGUGGCGAAAGCGACUUCCUGGACCAAUACUGACGCUCAUGUGCGAAAGCGUGGGGAGCAAACAGG